UUUCCGUAGGUGAACCUGCGGAAGGAUCAUUGUCGAAAGCUUGCACAGUGUUGGUGGACAUGCGAACUAAGUCGGAACAUAUAUAGGGGGUGCACGGGGAGCUGCUUUCCCUCCCCCCAUGGUCGAUGGGUAUGUGGUCAAGAGGCCAUGGGUAACCUCGGUCUAACUCUCAAACCGGCGCUCGACGUGCCAAGGAAACUCAACUUGAAAUGCUGUCCCCCGGCCCUCGUAUGAUGCGUGCGUGGGAUUCGAGGAGGAGACGUGUGAAAAAAAAAUGGCGUGAUAGAAUGACUCUCGGCAAUGGAUAUCUCGGCUCUCGUAUCGAUGAAGAACGCAGCGAAAUGCGAUACUUGGUGUGAAUUGCAGAAUCUCGUGAGCCAUUGAGUUUUUGAAUGCAAGUUGCGCCCGAAGCCAUUUUUUUGGUCGAGGGCACGCCUGCCUGGGUGUCAUGCAUGGAGUUUUCCUGGGACCUCCUCCUCCGUGAGGCCGAUUGCUCGGCUGCUUUUCAUUGGGGGUGAGGGCGAUCUCGGGCGUAUGUUGGCCUCCCGUUCCCCGUCGUGCGGUUGGUUUAAAUUUGGGGUCCUUGGUGGCAUGCAUCGUUGAAGAGCUGUCUUAAACAACGUUUGUCCUAUGUUGGCAAGUGAGCCCUCGCGGUCCCAUGGCUUCCUCGACACUUGUAUGGAGUUGCCAUUUGGACCCC
rnacentral:misc_RNA from 1 species